AGUAACACCUGGAAACAGAUGCUAAUACCCGGAUAACAACAGAUGAUGCCUAUCAACUGUUUAAAAGUAAUGGUUCUGCUAUCACUCUUGGGAUGGACCCUGCGGUGCAUUAGCUAGUUGGUAGGGUAACGGCCUACCAAGGCGAUGAUGCAUAGCCCGAGUUGAGAGACUGAUCGGCCACAUUGGGACUGAGACACGGCCCAAAACUCCUACGGGAGGCAGCAGUAGGGAAAUCUUCCACAAUGGACGCAAGUCUGAUGGAGCAACGCCGCGUGAGUGAAGAAGGGUUUCGGCUCGUAAAGCUCUGUUGUUGGUGAAGAAGGACAGGGGUAGUAACUGACCUUUGUUUGACGGUAAUCAAUUAGAAAGUCACGGCUAACUACGUGCCCAGCAGCCGCGGGUAAU
rnacentral:rRNA from 1 species